CAUUCUAAUAUGCUGCUUUGGUGCUCAAGAAACAUUUUAGUAGUAUUAUCAGUGCUGAACACAGAUAACCUGAUUAAUAUUUUUUUCCA